UAUCAGGUUGAGACCAUCAGUUCCUGUACGAUCCCCGAAGUUAAGCAACGUCGAGUCUAUUCAGUACUUAGAUGGGUGAUCGCUUGGGAAUACCGGGUGUUGUAGG